AAGUAUCCAGGGUGUUGUGUCUCAAUUUCGCCAUUGGCUUCUUUUUGUUCCUUAGUUUUUUCUAAAGCAGCAACUUGCUUCUCUGUUAAAAUUAUACCGUCUUGGACCACCUUCGCUUCCAGCGCCUUCAACCUCUUUUUAAAAUUUUCGAGUUUGCCGUAUUGACCUUAUCCCACUAGCAGAUAUUAGAAUUCCUUUUUUCUUUAAUUCAUUAGCUGCUCUUUCUUGUCCAUAUGCUGGAAACUCUACUAACUACUGCUUCUUCUGUAUCCUUUGGUACUCUAUUGGCAAGUAAUGGUUUGCUUUUGUUUAUCUCGUAUAAUCCCUCCUGUUUCAUACAGCUCUUUGAAGCGGUAAAAUGUAUCCCUUCAUUACUUUACACGCCUGUGAUACAUUUCCUAAUUGCUUUGCAAGUUCUAGCAACCCCAACUUUGGUUUUAGUAUUUUUUCUUGUGUUUUACUCAUAUCUGACACUCCUUUAAAAUUUAUUUAUAUUUUUAUCUUACUUUGUUAAUCUGUCA